ensembl:lncRNA
GCAUACACUGACCCUGAGAAUGUUGAUUUUAUAAUUUGAAAAUGUCCUUUGAGGCUGCUAUUUUGAUGAGGAAGUUCUUGCUGGCCAUGAUACUUGUUCAGCUAGAAGAGGGAGUGAGAAAUGAGACAGCCACAAAGUGAAGCUCAUUUGACUUUUGAGUCAUUAAAAUUUCCAUUUUACAGAGGGGUUUUUUUUUUUUUUUUUUGGUCUUUUUGUCUUUUAGGGCUGCAGUCACAGCAUAUGGAGGUUUCCAGGCUAGGGGCAAUUGGAACUGUAGCCAACAGUCUACUCCAGAGCCAUAGCAACACUGGAUCCAAGCAGCAUCUGCGACCUACACCACAUCUCAUGGCAACGCUGGAGGCCAAGGAUCGAACCCACGUCCUCAUGGAUGCUAGUCAGGUUUGCUAACUGCUGAGCCAUGACAGGAACUCCUACAGCGGUCUUAACCAAUUGUGUUUGGGAAGUUUUUAUGAAUGAAGUCUGAACUGAAGAAAGUCAUAGCAAAUAGAUCAGGUGGGUAGGAAUCCUAUAUUUAUUGUAAGUACAAUCUAUGAUUAGAGACCUGAAAUGCAUUCUGCAUAUAAAAAGGAAAACGUUCUGGCCACAGGCAUUAAAACAUUCUUCUGCUACUAUUAGUGUGUAUCUUAUGAUGCCAUGUAUUUUCUACCGGUAAGAAAUAACCUAAUUGUUUGACUUAAAAAAAGGAUUUUUCUUACAUCUCCUUUUAAAAAAAAACUACGUAAAGGGAAUUAAAUCGACCUUGUGCAAUAAUCAUCCAUUUAUUUUGCUUUUGUUCCACGAGGGGCUCUAAAGAGUUAUUAUGCACCAGAAAAAGUAGACUUAACGUCGAUUGCUCCAGAAAUUCUUUAUAGUCAAUGUUUGAAAUAGAGUGGGUUUUUUGUGUUUUUUUUGAAACUUUUCUCUGGGAUAGUGUGAAGUCUUAUUUUCCCCAUGCAUUGAUCCCAUUCUCAUGAGAAUUUUAUCUCAAUAUUCAGCUAUAGUUGAUAUCAAGUACUAAAUAUUACUGUCUUGAUCAUGUGUUCAAUCAAACAAGAAGUACUGAUCUUUGAAUAUAGAAUUCACUGGUUUUUAUUUUGAUCUUGCUGCCCCAAGAAGGAUCUAAGUUAGAGUACUAGGUAUUGCUUUUGGACCCUGAGGAGCCUGAAUGGAGAGAAGACUAUAUGAAUAAGACUGGCAGCCAGCUGCUGCAAUUGAGAGUCAUUUAUUUAUUAUUUUAUUUUUUAAAUUACUCAACGAAUUUAUUACAUUUAUGGUUGUACAAUGAUCAUCACAAUCCAAUUUUGUAGGAUUUCCAUCCCACACCCCAGAGUCAUUCAUUUAAAUCUUAUUAAGCAUACAUUCUGUGUUAGGCAGUGGGGACACAAAGAGUACUAAAAACGUUUCCACCCUUUAUCAACAGUAUCAUUUAGUGGGGGAGACAGAGUAAAGAGUUUUGGCCCAUUCACUGUGUUAAGUGUUUUAAUAAAUAGGGGAACAGAAGUUAAUUUCUUCUGUACAGCAUAUAGGUGCCAUUUAGUUAAUUUUUAUCAGGAUUGCUAGGUGGCAGAAGAAACGGCUUUUAAGGCUCAUCUAAGCUAGAGUUUUCCUAACAUAUCAGAUAAUAAAAAUUAUGUGAUGUUCUUGUUAAGAAUACAGAUUCUAAGACCUCCCCCAUUCUCUCUGCCCUCCCCCCAAAGACUUAAUGCAGUAGAUCUGGAGGGGAUAUUAAAUAACAUAUUGCAUGUUGCUCUCCACUGUGACUUUUCAAAAGUCUAGAAGUGUUCUUUAAUUUGUCUGAUAAAUACUAGUGUUCCUCAUUGAGACUCUGGAAAAAUAAAAAAAUACAUCAUUAAAUUCUAUCUCAGUAUAGGUAUUUCUCCUGUGAGCUAAGCUGUAACUCAGGUAUCUUGCUUUCUGAUAAACAAAAAGAUAGUGCUGUUGAAAACUAGAGGAGGUAAUACUUUUCAGGAAAAUUGUAGGGCUUUAUGUGUAUUCUCUGCUAAUAAACCAUCAUGAUUUUAUGUGGAUUUGAACCAAAGAGAUUCUUAAUAAAUAGAGUACAUUUUUUUUCCUUAGAACAAAUUUCUAACUAAUUUAACCCAGGUCAUAUUUGUAGUAUGGUCCCAAAAUUAUAGAAAACAUGAUUUGUGCCUGGAUGUUUUUAAGAGUAAAUGAAUUAGGCUGCAUCAACCCUAGAAUGAUUCCAGUAUGACUUUUAAUUUUGAUGAAUCUAAUUUAUGUAAUUUAAUUUUGAUGAAUAGGCAACCAAAGGAAUUUUACAAACAUAGAGCACAGUGGAUGUGAUGCCCCCUGAAAUUACAUAAGGUUCUGGCCUUGUGGACUCUUCACUGAGUUUGAAUGGUAGAGUUACGAUAGCUGUAUGGCCAAGUCCUAUAACAUUAGUUUUCAAAGCC